rnacentral:rRNA from 1 species
UACGAAGGGGGCUAGCGUUGCUCGGAAUUACUGGGCGUAAAGCGCACGUAGGCGGCUUGUUAAGUCGGGGGUGAAAUCCUGGAGCUCAACUCCAGAACUGCCAUGGAUACUAUCUAUCUUGAAUGUCGUGGAGGUUAGCGGAAUAUGUCAUGUAGCGGUGAAAUGCGUAGAGAUGUGGAGGAAUACCGAUGGCGAAGGCAGCCCCCUGGGAUAACACUGACGCUCAUGCACGAAAGCGUGGGGAGCAAACAGG